rnacentral:rRNA from 1 species
GACGAACGCUGGCGGCGUGCUUAACACAUGCAAGUCGAACGGAAAGGCCCUGCUUUUGUGGGUUGCUCGAUAGGCGAACGGGUGAGUAACACGUGAGUAACCUGUCCCUGACAUUGGGAUAACUUCAGGAAACUCGGGCUAAUACCGGAUAUGAGCUCUUGCUGCAUGUGGGGGGUUGGAAAGUUUCGGCGGUAGGGGAUGGACUCGCUGCUUAUCAGCUUGUUGGUGAGGUAGUGGCGUACCAAGGUUUCGACGGGUAGCCGGCAUGGGAGGGUGACCGGCCACAUUGGGACUACGAUACGGACCAGACUCCUACCGGCGGCAGCAGUGGAAAGCAUUACGCAAUGAGCCGAAGCCUGAUACGACGGCGCCGGGUGCGGGAUGCCGGCCUACGAGUUGAGAACCGCUUUCGCCUGUGCCGAGGCGUGAUUGACGGUAAUGGGUAAGAAAGCACCGGCUAACUACGUG